rnacentral:rRNA from 1 species
CCUACGGGUGACAGCAGUGGGGAAUAUUGCACAAUGGGGGAAACCCUGAUGCAGCGACGCCGCGUGAGUGAAGAAGUAAUUCGUUACGUAAAGCCCUAUCAGCAGGGAAGAAAAUGACGGUACCUGAGUAAGAAGCCCCGGCUAACUACGUGCCAGCAGCCGCGGGCAUACCUAGGGGGCAAGCGUUAUCCGGAUUUACUGGGUGUAAAGGGGGCGUAGACGGUUGGGCAAGGUUGGAGUGAAAUGCCGCAGGUUAACUGCGGAACUGCUGUGGAAACUGGCGAACUAGAGUGCGGGAGGGGUAUGCGGAAUUCGUAGUGUAGCGGUGAAAUGCGUAGAUAUUAGGAGGAACACCGGUGGCGAAGGCGGCUUACUGGACCGUAACUGACGUUGAGGCUCGAAAGCGUGGGGAGCAAACAGGAUUAGAUACCCGAGUAGUC